rnacentral:rRNA from 1 species
CUCUAUGGCCAUACUACCCUGAACACGCACGAUCUCGUCUGAUCUCAGAAGCUAAGCAGGGUCAGGCCUGGUUAGUACUUGGAUGGGAGACCGCCUGGGAAUACCUUAUAGUGCCAUAGGCU